GACGAACGCUGGCGGCGUGCUUAACACAUGCAAGUCGAGCGGGAUCCAACCGGUGGCAACACCGGGGAAGAUCUAGCGGCGAACGGGUGAGUAACACGUGAGCAACCUGCCCCGAAGACUGGGAUAACACCGGGAAACCGGUGCUAAUACCGGAUGUCGUCAUUAGGCCGCAUGACCUGAUGAUGAAAGGAUUCAUCGCUUCGGGAGGGGCUCGCGGGCUAUCAGCUUGUGGUGGGGUAACGGCCUACCAAGGCGACGACGGCUAGCUGGUCUGAGAGGACGACCAGCCACACUGGGACUGAGACACGGCCCAGACUCCUACGGGAGGCAGCAGUGGGGAAUCUUGCGCAAUGGGCGAAAGCCUGACGCAGCAACGCCGCGUGGGGGAUGAAUGCCUUCGGGUU
rnacentral:rRNA from 1 species